rnacentral:lncRNA from 1 species
ACGAGGAGCACAGGAGAGGCAAACUGACCGGACCAGCUCCCUGCAGGACUGAACGCCCUCGCUUGUUAAAAGGUGUGAUUGAUAUCAGUUGCCAAGAGCAAUGAUUUUGGUUUGAGGACGAUUUCUUUUGAGUCGUUCUUCAGGACAGCCGUUGCUGUGUUUGCUCAGGCCACCAUAACAGAGGGUCACAGACUGGGUGACCUGAAAGACAUUUUUUUUUUUUUCAUGGUUUUGGAGGCAGCGAGUCCAAGAUGGAGGUGUGGGCCUGUCCCCUGGGCUUGCUUCUCACAGGGCCUCUGGUGUCUCUUCCUCUUCUUAAAAGGAUACAGUCCCCUCUGCUCAGAGUCUACCUGAGACCCAACCCAGGCUUGAUUACCUUGUCAAGGCACUGGCUCCGACAGAGCACACGGGGAAUUACAGCUUCCACGUGUGGAUUUUGAGUGGGACACCUUUGCCCAUACCCGGUCCCUGACCUGAUGCUCUGUAAGGCUGCAGAUCCGACUCCAAUGGCAGGACGUGAGCGUCCACUCCUUCCUGCUGCCUACUGUACUCACCCGGCACAAGCAACUUGAGAAGCAUCAGAUGUGAGAAGAGCAGGCUUUACUGAAAUCCGAAUGGUCCUUAGUCCAGCCUUUUUGUUUCUCUGGACAAGAAGGCGGAGGUGAGGUUUGUCCACUGGGGCAGAAACCUUCAAGCCAGGUCAGGUUGGUAACCCGGGAUUCCCCACCCCCCCUUAUUUCUGCCUUCGUGUUUCACUUGAGCUGUGGUCUGGACUCCCUGUAGCAUCUGCCCUGGGGCAGCCGUAGAGGGAAGGGCCGAGAGGAGGCCAGCCCGGGCUGUCCCCGCUGCUGCCGGCUCUGCCCAGCGCCUCACUCGGGUGUGUGUAGCUGGCCGCCCUCUGCUGUGUCUCCUCUCAUCAUCUUACCACUUUCUCCUCCUCCUCUUCUUGGCCCUUUCCUUUGCCCCUCAGGUCCUCUUCUCAGGUGGCCUCUGCUUGGGGAAAGUCCCGCUGCCCCUAUGCCCAGAACUACGAGGAGGGAGGGCAGCCCGCCGUGGCGUGUGGGUGCUCUGGGGGUGCCCUCGCCCCCUUCCUUCUCCUCUGCACAUUUGCACCUUCUCUCAGGACACCUGUGCAGGGACCCAGGCACACACCUGCUGCUGAAGCCAACCGGGGCAGCGUGCCCUCUGCUUGGAGUGGGGGGUGGUGUGCGGGGCUGUCUGAGAGCUGGUCCCCUGCACAAUUCCUGCAGGCCGUGCCUUCCUGUCCUCCACAACCCCGGAGGCUCGGGCUGCUGUGCAAACUAACGGCUGCCCCGGGGCAGAGAGGACGAGCCUCUUGAGCCUCUCGGCAGUCUAGUCGGCAGCACAAGGUAAGGCGGGACUGAGGCACAGCGGAGCUGAGCUCCUUGCCAGGGCCACCCGCGCACAGGCUCUUCGGCAUCAUGCACAGGGCCCAGCUUCGUACCAUGGGGGAGCAGACUCAGAGGCCCUGCCAGGACCCACCUCAGCGAGGUCCAGACUGCCAAGGGCUCACGGAGCAUGUGCAUAGAGUUAGGCAGAGUGGCUCAGCAGAAGUCAGUUAAAUAGGACACAACGACAGAGGUCAGAAAGGCCCAGAGUCGGUUAUUUCAAAACAUUAGAUCGAGCAACCCUUGGUCACUGACAUGGUGAGC